CCCCGGCGCACUAUCAUUAACUGAAUCCAUAGGUUAAUGAGGCGAACCGGGGGAACUGAAACAUCUAAGUACCCCGAGGAAAAGAAAUCAACCGAGAUUCCCCCAGUAGCGGCGAGCGAACGGGGAGGAGCCCAGAGCCUGAAUCAGUGUGUGUGUUAGUGGAAGCGUCUGGAAAGGCGCGCGAUACAGGGUGACAGCCCCGUACACAAAAAUGCACAU
rnacentral:rRNA from 1 species